rnacentral:rRNA from 1 species
AGAGUUUGAUCCUGGCUCAGGACGAACGCUGGCGGCGUGCUUAACACAUGCAAGUCGAACGGAGCUUACUUAGACGGAGUUUUCGGACAAAGACUAUAUAAGCUUAGUGGCGGACGGGUGAGUAACGCGUGAGGAACCUGCCUUUCAGAGGGGGAUAACGUUUGGAAACGAACGCUAAUACCGCAUGAUACAGUAUGGCGGCAUCGCCUAACUGUCAAAGGAGCAAUCCGCUGAAAGAUGGCCUCGCGUCCGAUUAGCCAGUUGGCGGGGUAAAGGCCCACCAAAGCGACGAUCGGUAGCCGGACUGAGAGGUUGGACGGCCACAUUGGGACUGAGACACGGCCCAGACUCCUACGGGAGGCAGCAGUGGGGGAUAUUGCACAAUGGGCGAAAGCCUGAUGCAGCAACGCCGCGUGAGGGAAGAAGGUUUUCGGAUUGUAAACCUCUGUCCUCGGUGACGAAACAAAUGACGGUAGCCGAGGAGGAAGCCAGGGCUAACUACGUGCCAGCAGCCGCGGUAAUACGUAGGUGGCAAGCGUUGUCCGGAAUUACUGGGUGUAAAGGGAGCGCAGGCGGGGAAGCAAGUCAGCGGUGAAAUACAUGGGCUUAACCCAUGAACUGCCGUUGAAACUGUUUCUCUUGAGUGAAGUAGAGGCAGGCGGAAUUCCGAGUGUAGCGGUGAAAUGCGUAGAUAUUCGGAGGAACACCAGUGGCGAAGGCGGCCUGCUGGGCUUUUACUGACGCUGAGGCUCGAAAGUGUGGGGAGCAAACAGGAUUAGAUACCCUGGUAGUCCACACUGUAAACGAUGAUUACUAGGUGUUGGAGGAUUGACCCCUUCAGUGCCGCAGUUAACACAAUAAGUAAUCCACCUGGGGAGUACGACCGCAAGGUUGAAACUCAAAGGAAUUGACGGGGGCCCGCACAAGCAGUGGAGUAUGUGGUUUAAUUCGACGCAACGCGAAGAACCUUACCAAGUCUUGACAUCCAUCGACGACUAUAGAAAUAUAGUUUUCCUUCGGGACGGUGAGACAGGUGGUGCAUGGUUGUCGUCAGCUCGUGUCGUGAGAUGUUGGGUUAAGUCCCGCAACGAGCGCAACCCUUAUGGUCAGUUACUACGCAAGAGGACUCUGGCCAGACUGCCGUUGACAAAACGGAGGAAGGUGGGGAUGACGUCAAAUCAUCAUGCCCUUUAUGACUUGGGCUACACACGUACUACAAUGGCGUUAAACAAAGAGAAGCAAGACCGCGAGGUGGAGCAAAACUCAGAAACAACGUCCCAGUUCGGACUGCAGGCUGCAACUCGCCUGCACGAAGUCGUAAUUGCUAGUAAUCGCAGAUCAGCAUGCUGCGGUGAAUACGUUCCCGGGCCUUGUACACACCGCCCGUCACGCCAUGAGAGCCGGGGGGACCCGAAGUCGGUAGUCUAACCGCAAGGAGGACGCCGCCGAAGGUGAAACUGGUGAUUGGGGUGAAGUCGUAACAAGGUA